GGAUCUGGGUUUCAAUCCUGUCUCCACCACUUGUGGAUUCUGUCGAAUCUCUAUUUUAUCAUCUGCAAAAGACGGUUGAUGCUUAUUUGAGAGGUGAUAUGGGGACUGAGUGAGAUAGCACAUGCCAAUCAUGUUGCCUAGUGUCUGAUCCCUAGGAAGGGCUCAGCUAGUUUCUUUCUGUUGGUCAGGGAGACUCUGUUCAAUUCACCUCUCACUUACUGAGUGCCUGCUGGAUGCCAGACAGUGAGUGGGCCCCUGGGGAUACAGAAACAAAUAAGAUGCGGCCCCUGCUCUGGAGUCUCACAGCCUCGAUUAGGCACUGUACAGUUUGUGGUAAACUGUUUAAACAUAUAGUGACACUUCUGCCUCUCCUGAUCAGUUUGGCCCUUUGGGGAGCCUGCUUCCGGACACAGCAGCAAGUGAAUAUGCAUCAUUUGGACAAUGAAGAAAGGCAAACCACCAAAGGCAAAAAGAGAAAGAAGGACCUCCAGAAUGGGAGAAUAAUUCCUCACUCGUCAGGAAAGGGAGAAUAUCCCCAGCCCCAUUUCAAGCUGUCAUCAUGA
rnacentral:lncRNA from 1 species